GGAUUAGCUCAGCUGCUUAGAGCAUGGUACUGAUAAUGCCAGAGUUGUGGGUUUUAUCCCCAUAUGGGCCA
rfam:Taeniopygia guttata chromosome 5, whole genome shotgun sequence.